AACAGGAAAAUCAAAUCACAGAAGAGUAUAUGCGCAAAUUCACGCAUCUUAAAAAUGAUUUAAUGCUUUAGUUUGUAUUUUCCAUUUGUUAUUUCCUGCGAAAGAAAAAUAUAUGCUGCAUACUUGACCAUUAAAAUUGUUUUGUGAAUUUCAUGUCAACCGUUUAACGCUCAUUGGUCAGGUGUAACGGAAAAGUUCUACGAUCAUUCGGGUAGACAUCAAACUCAAAUGGCUCCGUUUAAGUUCGGGAUAUUUUAUUUCAGAGACAGCUCUAUUCAUGUCGAAAGUACUGACAUCGUAACACCUCAGUACAGAACGAAGCUUGUCCAGGUGUUAACACGGCCGGACCUCUCAAGUGAAGACGGAUGGAUCGAAGUAUACUUCGUGAAAAGGAAAGGACCACAAAAAAAGGUCGCCGCAAAACUGCUCUUACUAGGAGACAGCUAUAAGGAGUUGCUAGAGAGAAAAAAAGCCUUCCUCAGGAAUGAGGACAUCUGGCCCAUGGCAGUUGAGAGGAGAAGAGCUGCAGUGUGUGAUACCUCUCAUGAUGGAACCCAGGCAAAGAAAAAGAAAAAUAGUAAAACAGCAGAUACCAGUGUCACCUCGGACGAUGAUGAGACAGACAUUGAAACACCACAAGUCUCUUGGACAAAC